CGAAGUAGUUUGAGUUAAAUAUAAUUGUAAUGUUAGUUGUUUUAGGUUUGGUGUGGCAAAAUCAUAACCCAAAUUAUAUUUAGGGGUGAUAGGCUCUUCAAAAACUAGGAUAUCUUGAUUCCAAAUAAAUGUAUUUAGUACAAUUAGUACAUUUAUUGAGUGUUUAGGCUUAGUAAAAAUAUUAAUAUAUAUUGAUUGCUUUUUUUAGGUUAUAAUAAAUAAAAAUUGUAGUGUUAUAAUAUUCUACUCUUGAAGGUUAUAGUUAGUAUUUGGAUGGCUUAAAGCUCGUAUAUCUUUUAAUAAUGUUUAUAUUAGUAUACUUACCAGUUUUAUAUAAGGAACUCGGCAAAUAUUCUUCUUAACUGUUUACCAAAAAACAUAACUGUGUGUAUUAAUACAUAGCGGUUUCUGCUCAAUGAUUAUAUUAAAUAGCCGCAGUAUU
rnacentral:rRNA from 1 species